AUUGAACGCUGGCGGCAUGCUUUACACAUGCAAGUCGAGCGGUAACAGGCCUUCGGGUGCUGCCGAGUGGCGAACGGGUGAGUAAUGCAUCGGAACGUACCCAGAGGUGGGGGAUAACGCAGCGAAAGCUGUGCUAAUACCGCAUGUGAUCUGGGGAUGAAAGCGGGGGACCGAGCAGCAAUGUUUGGCCUCGCGCCUUUGGAGCGGCCGAUGUCGGAUUAGCUAGUUGGUGGGGUAAAGGCCUACCAAGGCGACGAUCCGUAGCUGGUCUGAGAGGACGACCAGCCACACUGGGACUGAGACACGGCCCAGACUCCUACGGGAGGCAGCAGUGGGGAAUUUUGGACAAUGGGCGCAAGCCUGAUCCAGCAAUGCCGCGUGCGGGAAGAAGGCCUUCGGGUUGUAAACCGCUUUUGGCAGGAACGAAACGGUGUCCGCUAAUACCGGGCGCUAAUGACGGUACCUGCAGAAUAAGCACCGGCUAACUACGUG
rnacentral:rRNA from 1 species